rnacentral:rRNA from 1 species
UACGUAGGGUGCUAGCGUUGUUCGGAAUCACUGGGCGUAAAGCGCUCGUAGGCGGAUUUGUCAGUCAGCGGUGAAAUCCCGGGGCUCAACCUCGGAACUGCCUUUGAUACAGCAAGUCUUGAGUUCGAGAGAGGUGGGUGGAAUUCCUAGUGUAGAGGUGAAAUUCGUAGAUAUUAGGAAGAACACCGGUGGCGAAGGCGGCCCACUGGCUCGAUACUGACGCUGAGGUGCGAAAGCGUGGGGAGCAAACAGG